rnacentral:ncRNA from 1 species
CCUCAAUAUGUUCAUUAGCAAUGGGAUUGACAGUAGGCCUCCCAAAAAGUAACGGAUGUGUGCAAAGGUUUCCUCGGGCCAGACAGAGAUUGGCCCUCAAGUGCAAAUGCAAAAGGGAACUUGAUUGCAAGACCCACCCGUCAAGCAGGGAAGAAAGUUGGCCUUAAUGAUCCGACGGUGCCGAGUGGAACGGCCGUCGCUCAAUGGAUAAAAGUUACUCUAGGGAUAAUAUGCUGAUCUUCCCCAAGAGUUUGCAUCGACAGGAACGUUUGGCACCUCGAUGUCGAUUCUUCAAACAUAACUCAUAGGUAAAUUAUCCUCAGGGAGUUGUUGAAUCACAUC